UCGAACGGACUUACAUUGAAGCCUAGCGAUAUGUAAGUUAGUGGCGGACGGCUGUGUAACGCGUGGGUAACCUGCCUUGUACUGGGGGACAACAGUUGGAAACGACUGCUAAUACCGCAUAAGCGCACAGCUUCGCAUGAAGCAGUGUGAAAAACUCCGGUGGUACAAGAUGGACCCGCGUCUGAUUAGCUGGUUGGUGAGGUAACGGCCCACCAAGGCGACGAUCAGUAGCCGGCCUGAGAGGGUGAACGGCCACAUUGGGACUGAGACACGGCCCAAACUCCUACGGGAGGCAGCAGUGGGGAAUAUUGCACAAUGGGGGAAACCCUGAUGCAGCAACGCCGCGUGAGUGAAGAAGUAUUUCGGUAUGUAAAGCUCUAUCAGCAGGAAAGAUAGUGACGGUACCUGACUAAGAAGCUCCGGCUAAAUACGUGCCAGCAGCCGCGGUAAUACGUAUGGAGCAAGCGUUAUCCGGAUUUACUGGGUGUAAAGGGAGUGUAGGUGGCCAUGCAAGUCAGAAGUGAAAAUCCGGGGCUCAACCCCGGAACUGCUUUUGAAACUGUAAGGCUGGAGUGCAGGAGGGGUGAGUGGAAUUCCUAGUGUAGCGGUGAAAUGCGUAGAUAUUAGGAGGAACACCAGUGGCGAAGGCGGCUUACUGGACGAUAACUGACGCUGAGGCUCGAAAGCGUGGGAGCAAACAGGAUUAGAUACCCUGGUAGUCCACGCCGUANACGAUGAAUACUAGGUGUUGGAGAGCAUNGCUCUUCGGUG
rnacentral:rRNA from 1 species